AUGGUGGAGAGCGUGGCAGCAACGCCGUCGGAGGAGCAAGGCCGCGGCGGCGGCCUGUCGCUGCCUCCGGGGUUCAGGUUCCACCCCACCGACGAGGAGAUCAUCACGAGCUACCUCCUGCGCAAGUUCCUCGACCCUAGCUUCGUCUCCCGCGCCGUCGGCGAGGUCGACCUCAACAGCUGCGAGCCGCGAGAUCUCCCAGGCAAGGCCAACAUGGGGGAGAAGGAGUGGUACUUCUUUGUGCACAAGGACCUCAAGUACCCCACCGGGAGCCGGGCCAACCGCGCCACCAAGGAGGGCUACUGGAAGGCCACCGGCAAGGACAGGGAGAUCUUCAAGCCCCGCGCCCGCGAGCUCGUCGGGAUGAAGAAGACGCUCGUGUUCUACAGGGGCCGCGCGCCCCGCGGCGCCAAGUCUGAGUGGGUCAUGCACGAGUUCCGCCUCGAAGGCAAGUCCAGAGGCCAAACCAUGAACAAUCCCAAGGACGAAUGGGUGGUGUGCAAGGUGUUCAACAAGAAGGGGGAGGCCAAGGCGGCGAGGGCCGCCGACGUGGACGCCGAGUACUCCGCCGUGACGACGCCGAACUCUAGCUCGGUCGUCGACGCCGGCGAGGGCGCCGGAGACUUCACCGACUCCAUGUUCACGAUCGACCCGCUCUGCUACAUCCCCAACUCCGACGAGUACACAAGCAACCAGCCGCCGGCCAAGACGACGACGUCCACCACCACCAACAGUGCGGCGCCGCCGUACAACGCGGACUACUACUACCCGUCCGUUCCUACUACAGCUGGAAGCUUCAACCUCAUGUCUAACUACAGCUUGACCAACGCCACAAGCAACGCGCAAACGUCCACCGCCAUGGCCAGCUCAGUCCCGGCAACAAGCGGCUCCUCCUGGCAGCACAUGCUUAUGAAUACGGCGCCGCAUGGCGGGAUGAUGGGAAGAAGAAGCUACGACGUCAACCUCCAUGAGCAGCAGGCGAUCAUGAUGAGAGCCCUAGGUGGUGUCGUUGGCGCCCAAAACUUCGGUGAGCCGGCAAAGGGUCUGCAGUUGCCGAGCUCCGCGGUGACCGCCGGCAGUGUUCCGCCUCAGCAGGGCAAGCUCGGGAGCUACGACGACGGUGAAUUUCCCUAUGGGAAUUAUGAUCUUGCUUCUGCCGCUAUGAGUGGACGCCCAGCUGCUGCUAAUAAUCUUGGUCCUAGGUUUUACUGA
rnacentral:rRNA from 1 species